GACGAACGCUGGCGGCGUGCUUAACACAUGCAAGUCGAACGGAAAGGCCCUGCUUUUGUGGGGUGCUCGAGUGGCGAACGGGUGAGUAACACGUGAGUAACCUGCCCUUGACUUUGGGAUAACUUCAGGAAACUGGGGCUAAUACCGGAUAGGAGCUCCUGCUGCAUGGUGGGGGUUGGAAAGUUUCGGCGGUUGGGGAUGUACUCGCGGCUUAUCAGCUUGUUGGUGGGGUAGUGGCUUACCAAGGCUUUGACGGGUAGCCGGGCUGGGAGGGUGACCGGCCACAUUGGGACUGAGAUACGGCCCAGACUGCUACGGGAGGCAGCAGUGGGGAAUAUUGCACAAUGGGCGGAAGCCUGAUGCAGCAACGCAGCGUGCGGGAUGACGGCCUUCGGGUUGUAAACCGCUUUCGCCUGUGACGAAGCGUGAGUGACGGUAAUGGGUAAAGAAGCACCGGCUAACUACGUG
rnacentral:rRNA from 1 species